AUGUUUGUCAGCCCUCUGUUCAAGGCCGAGUUUCUUUCUGAAUCUUCUGCAAUGCAUGGAAAGAUGUGUCUGUGGACGAGUGGAAAGCCCAGGCAGUCACUUGUGUGUUUGUGCACAUGCACAAAGAUUUGCAGCUCUCCCUCAUGUUUUCUUUUUCUUGUCUGCUUCAAUUCACCUCAGUGCUUAAUUUUCUGCGCCUUGUCUGCUGCUUUAAUCUCUUUGAUCUUCUUGAGUUUCCUUGCCAGGACUGUGCCAUGGAAUCUGUAUCCUCUGUUCAGUCACCUGCUUUCUAGAGUAAGAAACCAUUGGGAAGCAUGGCCCCAACUUUUAUCAUUGUCACUGGGCUUGCUUGUGCCAGGUUUCAGUAGAAGAUGAUUGUGGAAUUCCUUCAGGAGGGUGCAUCCAUCCCUUUGCUUACAUGAAGUGGGAGUUUUCUGCUGAUGUUCACCGAUCGUGCAGGAUUGCUUUAUCCCUUUGGAAGAAGAUAGACCUAUGAUGUGGAG
rnacentral:lncRNA from 1 species